rnacentral:rRNA from 1 species
AAUGAACGUUGGCGGCGUGGAUUAGGCAUGCAAGUCGAGCGAGAACCGUAGCAAUACGGGGAAAGCGGCGUAAGGGACAGUAAUACGUAGAUAUCUGCCCUCCGGCCCGGGAUAGCUGCGGGAAACUGCAGGUAAUACCGGAUAAAGUCUUCGGACCAAAGGUGUGAUUCCGUCGGAGGAUGAGUCUGCGUCCUAUUAGCUUGUUGGCGGGGUAAUGGCCCACCAAGGCAAUGAUGGGUAGCGGGUGUGAGAGCACGACCCGCGUCACUGGGACUGAGACACUGCCCAGACACCUACGGGUGGCUGCAGUCGAGGAUCUUCGGCAAUGGGCGCAAGCCUGACCGAGCGACGCCGCGUGUGGGAUGAAGGCCUUCGGGUUGUAAACCACUGUCAGAGGGGAUGAAAUGCGUGGGGGUACUCCCCCAUGUUUGACAUAGCCUCAGAGGAAGUACGGGCUAAGUUCGUGCCAGCAGCCGCCG